rnacentral:pre_miRNA from 1 species
GUUGUGGGGCAUGAUCCAAAGCCCACUGAAGUCAGUGGAAAAAAUCUCCCAUUAACUUCAGUGGGAUUUGGAUCAGGCCCUUGGUCC